rnacentral:lncRNA from 1 species
AAAUUUAAAUAAAUUUUAAAAAUUUAAAACAAAAUUUCUCAUUCCAGCUAUAUUUCAAGUCUUCAGUAGUAACUUGUGACUAGUGCCUACCAUAUUGGACAGCAGAUUAUAGAACGUUUCCAUCAUUGCAGCAAGCUCUAUCCAAUGGCACUGGAUUGUGUUGUCACAGAGGGCUCUUUGACUUAUCCCAGAUAUCCUACUACCAUAGUAGAUUUAAUAAAGCUAAACUAAACACCUUCUCUUUCAUUCCAAACCUUCUUGUCAAUAGCAGUGGCCCAGAUUAUCCAAAGCAAUGGAUGUGAUCUUGGCUCAAAAAUGUAUUUGAUACAAUUGUUUCAGGAGUCAAAUGGCAGCCCCCAGAGAAGGGAAGGGAGAGACGAUUCCACUACAAGUCCUGCUCUUUAUUGGUGUCCCCUGCAUGGAAAGUAUGUUAUAGAAUCAUAGAGAAUGUUCAAUGGGAUGGAAGUUUAGACAUCCCAUGAGGAACCUCUCCUUCCUAACUCUACGUUCAAGAGACAUCAGCAUCUUUUUCAUCUCCAUGGAUCCAGUUACCUGUGUGGCCCAUGAGAUACUCCUGAAUCAUCAUGGAACUACGAAAAUAAGCUCCAGCAAUGAAAUCCAAGUUUAGUUCAAAGUAGAACAGAAGACUAGAUAAAUGAAAAUCAGACAAGAGGAAAAGGAGAGUCAACAGUGGAAUAGCUAGCUGCCUGC